UACGAAGGGGGCUAGCGUUGCUCGGAAUCACUGGGCGUAAAGCGCACGUAGGCGGACUCUUAAGUCGGGGGUGAAAUCCUGGAGCUCAACUCCAGAACUGCCUUCGAUACUGAGAGUCUUGAGUCCGGGAGAGGUGAGUGGAACUGCGAGUGUAGAGGUGAAAUUCGUAGAUAUUCGCAAGAACACCAGUGGCGAAGGCGGCUCACUGGCCCGGUACUGACGCUGAGGUGCGAAAGCGUGGGGAGCGAACAGG
rnacentral:rRNA from 1 species